UACGUAGGGGGCAAGCGUUGUCUGGAAUUAUUGGGCGUAAAGAGCGUGUAGGCGGUCCGGUAAGUCAGCUGUGAAAGUCAAGGGCUCAACCCUUGAAAGCCGGUUGAUACUGUCGGGCUAGAGUCCGGAAGAGGCGAGUGGAAUUCCCGGUGUAGCGGUGAAAUGCGCAGAUAUCGGGAGGAACACCAAUGGCGAAGGCAGCUCGCUGGGACGGUACUGACGCUGAGGUGCGAAAGCGUGGGGAGCAAACAGG
rnacentral:rRNA from 1 species